rnacentral:rRNA from 1 species
AGAACGAACGCUGGCGGCAUGCCUAAUACAUGCAAGUCGAACGAACUCUUCGGAGUUAGUGGCGCACGGGUGCGUAACGCGUGGGAAUCUGCCCCUUGGUUCGGAAUAACAGUUGGAAACGACUGCUAAUACCGGAUGAUGACGAAAGUCCAAAGAUUUAUCGCCAAGGGAUGAGCCCGCGUAGGAUUAGCUAGUUGGUGAGGUAAAGGCUCACCAAGGCAACGAUCCUUAGCUGGUCUGAGAGGAUGAUCAGUCACACUGGAACUGAGACACGGUCCAGACUCCUACGGGAGGCAGCAGUGGGGAAUAUUGGACAAUGGGCGAAAGCCUGAUCCAGCCAUG